UCUUAAAAAUAGCGAAACGAGCAGGGCGACUAGGGUGCGGGGACGGACAAGGAGAGAGGGAAGUGCAAGGGUUACUUGACAUUAGAGAAAUCAAUAUUCAUACCACAGGGGUGUAAGCUGCUCA